CUUUUUUCUGCCCUAUUUCCCUUCACUCCUCCACUCGCCUCUUCAACCUUUUGCUGCCACCCUAUGUACUAGAUAUUACUGUGUGGACCAUCUGUGACCUCAGAGGUAGGGUCACAAUAAACAAGCACAAGCCUAGAUGCCUGCUGAGAGUGCAACAGAGUGGGAAAACUUUAAGCAAUCAAGUAAAAGAAAAUAGAACUAUUUCCCCUUUUCCCAGAGAGAGAGCAAAACUGAGCUGUGACUGCUUGAGCUGAAUGCAAAUGAAGAAUUGUGAGGCCUUCAGAGGCAAAAAUCUAACAAGAAGAGAAAAGCAGGAGGAGGAAGAAAACUCUUUUCUGAUGGUACUACCAAGGUAUGUAGUUUUGUACCAUCAACGGUGAUGAUUGGCUCACUGGGAUUAGUUGAUAGAAGACUCCAUUUUUUCCAGGCUGAGGGAUCAAGGGCAAUUAAAAUAAAUAAUUUGGAGAUGAAGAUGAAGGAAAUGGGACAACAGGAUAGAAAGAACUGAAGGCAAGUUGGCAGGAUAAAUGAUUAAAAGUCAUAUGAAACAGAAGGUUGCUGAAGUCAAAAGGAUUAACGCCUCCCUGGCAUAGCAAGAGAGGAGCACCGCAGGGUUAGUCUGAAAAUAUAUGAAGAUUAUGGGACAAAUUCUAUACUGAUCUACAGCCUACAUACGCCAGCUGAAAUUAAUAUGUCAGUGCAGAAGAUGAACCUUGUUUCCCCAAUACAGGGCUUAUUUUUUCCCAUUGUGUGAAGUUGAGGAACAGUUGCUGUGUAGUGAGGGGGCAUGGUCUCCCAACCUGAUGGAUGGGGGGGGAGCUGUGACCGACCCCAUGGUGGGCAGAACCAGGAUACCCAUGGCCACCGUGCUGGAAGCAGAAGGGUGGAGCAGGAACAGGAACUAUAAAAGGCUGGCCCUCUAGUUCAGUUGGGGCAGAGCUGCCAGAGGAGCAGGACGUUUUUCCCCCGCUGCUGGAGCCUGGACUUGAUGGAGGCUGCUCCUGUGCCAGAAACCUGGAAGGACUGCUGAAACUGCCAGACACCGAGGAGCUGUUGGGGCUGCCACUUCCCUUUUACCUGAGUGAGACCAACGACAACCCUGGAACCCAGCACAACAAGGUGUCAGAAGUGACUGAAUCCCACCAUCGGAGAGAGGACAAAACAAGAAAGUGAGUGAAACUCUUCUUCAUUCAGAAGUGGUUGUGAUUUCUACCCUGGAUUAGCCUCACAACAGGCUGAGCUGAGAGGACUGAUAUGAAAUAGAAAAAAAAAGGAGAACAAACAAUUAAAGCUUUGAAAAAAGCUGUGAGGGAAAAAAAGCUGCAGCUAAAGGAAGAGAUAGAGGAAAAACUGGAAUGGCAGAAAAAAUAAUCUUUCAAGAGAGGGCUUUGCUGAGAAACUGUCUGUUGGAGCAGCUGCAGGAAGAAGUACCAGUUCCCACAGAAAAAACAAGGGCUGGGAUCAUCUCUACAGGAACAGUGAGAGAAAAAACAAGCUGGAAGCAAGAUAAAGGUGCAGCAGGAAAAGGAACAGAAAGAAAGAUUUUAUAGAGGAAAAGAAGUUGUCAUCAGAGCAAGGAAACUAAUAUUUCUUUAAAAUCGUUCACAAACUCUUUUAAUUUUGCUGAUAAAUUAACCUGGCUGAAAAGGAUGGGCAGCUCAAGCACUUUUUUGUUGCCUCAGGAAUGUCAACAGUAGUGAGGAGUAUUAAUUAAAUUUUCUUGAUAUAUACCACAGAAGAUGAGGUAGAUGACACACAGAUGACAUCAGUACUAACUUUAGAUCAGAAGAAUGUUUACAAAACUGAACAAAACGUUUGAUGUGUAUUUCAAGAGAAAGCUUGAACAACCCCAACAGAACAUCAAAGUGGAAUCUGAGCUUGCACAUUUUGAAAAAAAGGGAAGAAACACAAAAUAACAAAGCUGAGCAUCCCACAUGGAAAACUUCGCAGGCUGGUAACAAAGAAUAUUUCACUGGCUGGAUGUAAACCAGAAUUUCCUGGCUUGCAUUUUUGUCCCACUUUGGAUUUUAAAAAAUUCCAGCUCAUUGGACAGCUUGCAGACUACUUUCCUGAAGUCAGGAGAAACUAGUUUUCUUUCCAAAGGUGAGAAAACUCCCAUUGACCUCAGUGGGCCAGGAUUUCACCCACAGUCCCCAUAUGAAACAUGGCUAAAGCUGUAACCAAAGUUCUAGUCUUACCCCUGACAAACCAGAUGUCAUUGGCAAAUUGUAUGAUGGACCUCAUGAUUAAGGCAAAGAAGGGCUGCCUACUCACUUCAGCAUGCUGCUCUGUUCAUUUCUAUGUCACUUCAUGGAAUUGCUAAUAAAGCUUUUACCAUUGUUCUAACCCUACACACCUCUCUGUACUCCUUGCUCUUCUGCAUGGCAACUUGACAGAAAGGGGCUUGCCU